rnacentral:sRNA from 12 species
GGAUAAUCCCGGGUGACCGGGGAAAGGUCGCUCCCGGCUGGUGGGGGCGGCCCCUCUUGCGCGGUGCAGAAAACCUGCACGGGCGGGGAGGCAGGAUUCACCAGCUCCUCUGGCACGGUCGCACGUGCCGGUACUGCGAACAAGGAGCCUGGCGGUUAGGAGCGUCCCAGAAGCCGCUCCGAGCCGAGUCAAGUAGUCCGGGUGGGCUUCGGCCCCGGACGAAUCGCAGUUACCCUGAGGGUUCACGGUUGCUACUGCGUACCAGCACGGUGCGAGUGGACCUGGCGGCUGCGGUGACGUAAAGCCGCCCAAACAAACCCCCCGGAAGGGGGACAAAAAGGGCGCUCGUACCGGGGAGGACACGGGACCGGGCAAUUCCCGUGAAAACCUUCCGGAGAGGUGGCGAUGCCGAAAAGGGCACCGCUGCCUUGCGAGGGAAAGGCAACCUGAGAGGUAAGAGGCGAGACCCGUGGCACCGGGUCAACGCACCACCACAAGUGGUGGCUGCCCCGGCGCUAAGUGGUCAAGACGCGAUGCCUCGCAAGCGUGUCUUGGCCUGGUUCGCAGGCUGGUGGCGCAACCACCCGCCGAAGCGAGCUGAAAAGCCUCACUCAACAAUCCCGGCGCCGCAAGGCCCGGGACGGCCCUGCUACGAGGCCGAUAACUCCGCCUUGCCGCGGGGAAUAGCGUCGGGAAGCCGGCAGCCCUCAGUGGCGCCUAAUGCCGGCACGGGAAAGAGAGCGUGGCGCACUCC